GAAAAGGUGUCUUCUCUCUCCCCUAAGCACUCCCCCUGCGCGAAAGCUCACCUCUGUAAUUUUUCUGCGCUCCAUCUCUCUGAUCUCCAUCUCUCUGCGUGCUAUCUCCUCUCGCCCUCUCUGCGCUCCAUCUCCUCUCGCCCUCACUGCGCUCCAUCUCUCUAGCAAGGCAAGCUCUUAAUCUCCCUCCCAUUCAACAAAUUGUUUUUUUGCUCUCUCUCUCUAGCAAUCAGCCUUUGCCCCUUGGAUUGAACUAUUGGAAUAUCAUGAUUAUCCUACCAUAUCCAAUAUGAUCAUCUUCUAUGAUUAAAUUGAUAAAAGAGCUCAUUCAUUGAUUCAAUCAACAUCUCUCAACAUCUACAAUACUAUCGUAAUGUUUGAUCUGAUAUUUCCCACAAUUUAAAGAUAUGUAAUGUUUAAUCUGCUGUUAUUUUUUUUUUAGAAUAAAUAUUAAUAUUUGAUUUUUUUUCUUUUUGUUUCAUUUGAUUUUAUUCGAACUAGCGGUCUGUAAUGUUUGAUUUGUUGUUAUUGAGGAAUAAGAUUGUUUGUUGGACUCUUUUGAGUCGUAUGAACUCUGAUAUUUUCCACAAUAUCAGAAAAAUAUAAUUGGUAUUCUUAUGAUGAAUUUUUAAAUAUAUCUUUGUAGUUCCAACUUAAGGUGAGUAAUGUUGAUUUUUUGCUCAAUAUAUGGGCUAUUCAAAUAUUGUUGGACAUAUUAUUUCUAGUUCGCUUUCUUUUCUUGGCAAAUAUAUGGUCCUUUCUCUGUAGUUGACACAAAACCAUGUGUAUUAUGGUCUCCAACUGUUGAAUAAUGAUCGAGGUAAAAAUGUUACUCGAUUUUUGGGAUAUUAAAAUAUUGUUGUGCAUAUUAUUUUUAGUUUGCUUUCAUUGAAUAAUGAUCGUGGUAAAAAUGUUGCUCAUUAUUUGUUAUUGAUUGUUGUCAAUUGUUACGACUUAUGUCAAUCUUGUUUCUCAUUGUUUGGAUGUGAAAUUAGAUGGCUACAUUAUUCCACUGACCAAAAAUAGUCUUAUUGCCUAAAACCCUUAUUUCAUUAUAAUUGAAAUAUUUGCAAUUGUUGGCAUUGAGUAUCCCUUAUAUAAUCAACUGCAGUUGUUCUAUAUAAUCAAGUGCCACUCAUUUUAGUCCUACUGAACUUCGUUUUAUCAUGAAAUCUAGGAAUAGACUACCUCUUGCUUUCUUUUUAUUUGGAUUAGAUUCUUCAUUACCAAAGUUGGUUAGAACAUUCAUGCCAUUAGGGUCCUUGUUAACCUUCAUGUUGAUUUUCUUAAUAGAUUUUUUGGCAAAUAUAAUUUCUUUAGGUGGCCGAGGUCUUUUGUUCUUCAAUGAGUUGCUUGUUACCUGAAUAAGAAAGAAAAACAAGAAAGUUGAAUUAAUCUCAAGCCUUUCUUGGGUCUGUUUUUCCUUUGCUAUCUGAUAAAAUAGUUUGUAUAUGUUCACUUAAAUGGCUGAGUCAAUCCAUGGAUGUGAUAUAGUGAGAAUAGGGCAUUUGAGCAUCUGAUCAUUUUAACUGAAUGGACCUCGACAACCAAUUCCCUCCAAGGAUUUGUAAAUGCAAACCAGGAUGUGGUCGGAUGCAUAUGUUUAUAGCAAAGACACAUGAUAACUACAAUAGACAUUUCUAUAAAUUCUCUAACUGGAAGGUAUGUAAUAUUCUUUCAUUAAGAUAAUGUAGAAGCAUAUUGGUUUUCCAUUGUAAGCAUAUUUCUAACACACGCUUAUCUUAUUGUGUUAACUACUAGAAUGAGAUUGCAUGAGGCUAUCUAGAGUGGUGUGAUGAAAUUCUAGGUGAAGAUAGGAAGCCUAUGGUUAAAAGGUUCGUGUCUUAGAGACCAAAUCCUUGUAUGGCUGAUGGAGUAGAUGCAUCUCUGUUUGAGAAAGACAAGAGCAAAUAUGAUGUUCUGGUUGCUGAGAAAGUAGACAUUAAAAAAAUUUGUCUCAUAUGUGUAAUUUUAUUUAUGACUUUGAUGUUUGCCCUCCUUUUUUUGUUAAAGGAAUGGGUAUAUGUUUUAUGGUAUCUAUAUACUUAUAAUUGUAUGCACUUAUUGAUCUUUAUCUUCUAUGGAA
rnacentral:lncRNA from 1 species